ensembl:snRNA U6 U6 spliceosomal RNA
GUGCUUGCUUUGUCAGCAUAUAUACUAAAACUGGAAUGGUACAGAGAAGAUUAGCAUGGCCUCUGCACAAGUAUGACACAUAGAAUGCUUGGACUAGCUUAGUGGCAACUUCUU